CCAUCAUGCUCUUGGAGAGCAGCUCGUCCCACUCGCUCUCUCUUACCGCCUCGUCAUUGCAUAAGUUCCGGCGGGGGGUCUUGAAGAAGACGGAAGCCUCUU
rnacentral:sRNA from 14 species